GACGAACGCUGGCGGCGUGCUUAACACAUGCAAGUCGAACGGAAAGGCCCUGCUUUUGUGGGGUGCUCGAGUGGCGAACGGGUGAGUAACACGUGAGUAACCUGCCCUUGACUUUGGGAUAACUUCAGGAAACUGGGGCUAAUACCGGAUAGGAGCUCCUGCUGCAUGGUGGGGGUUGGAAAGUUUCGGCGGUUGGGGAUGGACUCGCGGCUUAUCAGCUUGUUGGUGGGGUAGUGGCUUACCAAGGCUUUGACGGGUAGCCGGCCUGAGAGGGUGACCGGCCACAAUGGGAAUGAGAAAAGGCCCAAGAUCCUGAGGGGAGCAAGAGGUGGGAAAAAUGGAAAAAGGGGGGAAGCCUGAAGGAAGAAAGCCGGGGGGGGGGAGAAGGGCUUCGGGUUGUAAACCGCUUUCGCCUGUGACGAAGCGUGAGUGACGGUAAUGGGUAAAGAAGCACCGGCUAACUACGUG
rnacentral:rRNA from 1 species